AAACUUUCUUCUCUAGUGCUGAACAAUACCAUCUUGAUGAACAAAGAAGAUCCUCAGCCUAUCGGUUUGCAAUAUUUGCCUCAUUUGAAGCACUUAGAAAUUGAAGGGUGCAACCUCGGAGAUGCAGGUAUUCAUGCAAUGUCUCUUGAUUUCAAAGAAGCUGGCCAACUUACAGAGUUAAGUGUUGCACGCAAUAAGAUAACUAGUUCUGGAAUCUUGGAACUGUCCGGUCUUUUGAUGGAAAAACAAAAUCUUCGCAUAAUAAGAGUUCACGAAAAUGAUGUGGGUUAUGAAGGGGCUGUCUCGUUAGCGAUUCUCUUUAGAAAUCUUCCAUUCCUAGAGGUUGUCAAUUUAUGCGAUUGUAAAAGAAUAACAGACAAAGGGUUUGAGUUGAUCAUUGAAUCGCUGAAAGGCAAAAAUUUAAAGAAAAUGAAUGUCAGGAAUUGUGGGUUCUCCCAACGGAUUUCAGAAAAAUACUUCAAACUCUUGAAGAACAUGCGCCAUUUCCAACACCUUGAUUACGGUUGCAAUACUAUCGGUUCAUCAAGAGUUGGACCAGGACCGAGCAUAAAUAUAUCUGAAGUCUUUCUUGAAAUGAUGAGUUGCAAUAAGUACUCGUGGAAUCUUUUGAAUUUAUGGAAGUGUAACAUUGGCUUUACGACUGUAUUUGAAUCUGCCCACCAACUAGGACAUUUGUCAACCUUGACAGAUCUUUGCCUGCAAGAAAAUCAACUUAAUGACGGGGAUGGAGUUUGCAUUGGCGAGUACAUGGUGACGUCAUGGCAUAGCCUUCGCAGUCUAAACCUUCGUCAGAACAAUAUCGGAGAUACUGGAGCGGCUAAAAUUUUUGAAGGCAUACGUGAAAACCUAAAACUGAAAACAGUUUUCUUGGACAGAAACCAGAUAGAAGAUGGUGAUCUGAUACAAAAAAUGGUGGAGUACUUUGUUGAUCAGGGAAAUAUGGAGGAGAUGGACGUAUCAUACAACGAGGUCCCUGAGUAUUUAAACACAGAAACCGAAACUAGAAAGUUUUUGAGAGGCAGGGCUGCAAACAUACAACCAUGUAAUGGUUAUACAGAGAUAUCCAUUAAUAACCGAUUCAUGAGACUGUAAACAGCUAUAAAGAGAGGUGUACAUCCAUUAUACAUAACUAAAGAGACUUGAAUCCCGUUGCCGGAAUUGUUACAACUCAAUCUAAUGUGAAAACUUAACACAUGCUUUAUGUACACUUCAUUCUUAUUUAAAGCUGCUUGGUCCGAUUUUAUAUCAAAUUGUAUGCAUGCUUUUAAACGAUGGCUAUGCUUAGUAUAUGAAUUAUAAUAGACAUUGCAGUAGUUUUACCCAUUAAUUAUGCCAAAUUUCAAUGAAGAAAAAUACGUACAAAAGUUGCUAACAAAACAAACGACAUUAAAAGGUACCGCGUUAUUUCGCCUCAUGUUAAAUUGCACCCCCUGACGACGAGACGGGUAUGGUUGUAUUACAACUUUGACAUCACUUUAAAUAAAGGUCGAAAUGAUCAGACAAAUUACAAAUAAACAUGUGUACGUUUUUUUCGCUAUAAUAUUUCCAAAGUCUGCUUUCUUUACAAUCGAUGCAUAGCAUGCGAGUUGACUAACCCCAAUCAUUCGGGGAACGAAACCAAGCGGUUUCCUUUUCUAAACAUUCCCGUGAUGCAAUUUGAUUUGUUUUUUGUUUGCCCAAAGAGAUAUUAUUUUUAUUACUUUGAAUAUUUCUAACUUUGAAAGGAGACUGAUUCUGCUGGUGUAAAUAAGAGAAAGUCCAUAACUUUCUAAGAUAAAUGAUUUGUAUGGAAAAAAUGUUGAUACUGUAAUUUCAAAAAAAUCGGACCAAGCAUCUUUAAUGCGUAUUCGUUAUAUUCUUAACCCCAUAGAUUUUUUAUAUGAUGUGUAAUGUAUACUACUUGUUCUGACGUUUAAAUCUUAUUUGAUAUUGCAUCGUUUAUUGAAAACAGGUUCUCUGUACAAUCUGUAUAUCAUUAAUUCGUUAGUAUUUUGAUUAAAUAAUUUCAAAGUAUAGAUCAAUGCAUGUAUCAACUGAUUAAUCUGACAUUGAUGUAUAGAUGUUAAAUGUACUUCUUGAAGCUUAUUUUCCUAGCUACUACAACACUUUUAAAAACCGACACUAUGUUAUGUUUUCUAUACAAUGUACUCUAAAAAAAAUUCAUGAUUCAUGAUUUGGUUGUGUUGAUUGAGUACUCUCCUUUUCCAUAAACAAUAAAUAUUUAACAUUCCAUUU
rnacentral:sRNA from 1 species